CCUACGGGAGGCAGCAGUGGGGAAUAUUGCACAAUGGGCGAAAGCCUGAUGCAGCGACGCCGCGUGAGGGAUGACGGCCUUCGGGUUGUAAACCUCUUUCAGCAGGGACGAAGCGAGAGUGACGGUACCUGCAGAAGAAGCACCGGCCAACUACGUGCCAGCAGCCGCGGUAAU
rnacentral:rRNA from 1 species